ACCUGAUGGCACUUUUGUAAAUGCACAUGGAUUAGCACUAAGGAGCUAAUUAUUUUGAGAGUUGAGAUCACUUUUUCAAAAAGAAAAAAAAAAAUCUCCCAGGAUCAGGGGCGGCAGCCUCUUUAUAAGCAUUUCCUGGAAACGAGGCCAUAGACUUGGAAGCUGCCUCGACGAAUUGAGCGUGCAGUCGGUUGUGAGAACCAGCACAUCGUGAGAACCAGGAAAUCCCGAAGCAGAACUGGUAAAUGUAUAUGGAGUUCAUGUGUGAUGGUGUUGGGACUCUCACUGGAUAUUAAAGGUUUUGAGAUUUACCUGAGGAACAAAGGAUAAAGUCUCAGCUACCUGGAUUGGCUUCUCCUU
rnacentral:lncRNA from 12 species